GAUGAACGCUGGCGGCGUGCCUAAUACAUGCAAGUCGAGCGAACAGACGAGGAGCUUGCUCCUCUGACGUUAGCGGCGGACGGGUGAGUAACACGUGGAUAACCUACCUAUAAGACUGGGAUAACUUCGGGAAACCGGAGCUAAUACCGGAUAAUAUAUUGAACCGCAUGGUUCAAUAGUGAAAGACGGUUUUGCUGUCACUUAUAGAUGGAUCCGCGCCGCAUUAGCUAGUUGGUAAGGUAACGGCUUACCAAGGCAACGAUGCGUAGCCGACCUGAGAGGGUGAUCGGCCACACUGGAACUGAGACACGGUCCAGACUCUUACGGGAGGCAGCAGUAGGGAAUCUUCCGCAAUGGGCGAAAGCCUGACGGAGCAACGCCGCGUGAGUGAUGAAGGUCUUCGGAUCGUAAAACUCUGUUAUUAGGGAAGAACAAAUGUGUAAGUAACUAUGCACGUCUUGACGGUACCUAAGCAGAAAGCCACGGCUAACUACGU
rnacentral:rRNA from 1 species